UACGUAGGGUCCGAGCGUUGUCCGGAAUUAUUGGGCGUAAAGGGCUCGUAGGCGGUUUGUCACGUCGGGAGUGAAAACACGGGGCUUAACCCCGUGCCUGCUUCCGAUACGGGCAGACUAGAGGUAUGCAGGGGAGAACGGAAUUCCUGGUGUAGCGGUGAAAUGCGCAGAUAUCAGGAGGAACACCGGUGGCGAAGGCGGUUCUCUGGGCAUUACCUGACGCUGAGGAGCGAAAGCGUGGGGAGCAAACAGG
rnacentral:rRNA from 1 species